rnacentral:misc_RNA from 1 species
GAUGAAGAACGUAGCGAAAUGCGAUAAGUAAUGCGAAUUGCAGAAUUCCAGUGAGUCAUCGAAUCUUUGAACGCACAUUGCGCCCUUUGGUAUUCCGAAGGGCAUGCCUGUUCGAGCGUCAUUAUCACCCCUCAAGCCCUCGGCUUGGUGUUGGACGGUUUGGUGGAGGCCCCCUCGGGGGUUCCUGCCCCUCCCAAAGACAAUGACGGCGGCCUCGUUGGACCCCCGGUACACUGAGUUCUUCACGGGACACGUAUCGGACACAUGGGUUUACGGGACACGGUCUGCCUCCCCUCAGGGAGAAUCUUUCUAAGGUUGACCUCGGAUCAGGUAGGGAUACCCGCUAAACUUAAGCAUAUCAAUAAGCGGAGGA